rnacentral:rRNA from 1 species
UACGGAGGGUGCAAGCGUUAUCCGGAUUCACUGGGUUUAAAGGGUGCGUAGGUGGGCAGGUAAGUCAGUGGUGAAAUCUCUGAGCUUAACUCAGAAACUGCCGUUGAUACUAUCUGUCUUGAAUGUAGUGGAGGUGAGCGGAAUAAGUCAUGUAGCGGUGAAAUGCAUAGAUAUGACUUAGAACACCAAUUGCGAAGGCAGCUUACUAUGGUAUGAUUGACGCUGAGGCACGAAAGCUAGGGGAGCAAACAGG